CUUCUGUACGUUUUUAAUCUGAUUAAUUCCUCCGGAUUGCCAAUUAAGGAGCUGGCUUCUCGUGGGCUCCGGAUUUGCCCAGGCGCCAGCGAGAUUCCCUAAAGUUUUUUUUUUGUGGAUUUUUUUUUUUUGGAUGGUGUGGGGGAGAACUUAGCGUUGCGGUUGUGUGCACGCGUGUGCGUGUGUGCGCGCGCGAGUGUAAAAGCAGGGCGAAAGGGGUGUGCGAGGGGGUUGCACCCCCCCGCCUCUCUCCGGCUUGUCUGCGCGCACGUUCGCGCGCGCGCGUGUGUGUGUGUGAGAGAGAGAGCACGUGUGUGUUGUGUGUGUGUUUGUGUGUGUGUGUCGUUCUGACCGCCGAAAGCCUCUCGCUUUUCCACGCCACUUUUUUUUUUCAAUUUUAAUUUUUUUAAAAAGUGGCUUCCGUGGGGAUGCCUCCGAAGCACACGCGCGCACACGCACGCACACAUACACCCAUGCCAACAAUGAAAAAGGAGCACAUGAAACUUAGCACCCCCCAGCAACUGGACUGGCAGCGGACCCUCCUUGGCUGUGGAAUUCCCGGAGAUGGUUCUGAAGAAAACCGCACGUUCACACAUUGAUUAGAAACAGGAAGAAGGAAAACAGGCAACAGACCAACAGUACUUUCACCAACUCCAAGUUGAAGAUCGUCUCUGCAGGGUGGAGGAACACAUCACACUUCUGCAUAUGUAAGAGAACAAGAUAUGUUAAGAAGAAACCUUCUGGCUGAGAACACCCAAAUUCAGCAGCCUACUUCCAGCCAUAAGAUACCUGUCACCUCUUGGAAAGCUUCAGUGAAGAUGUCAACCCAACGAUUCCCCUUCUUCCUUGCAUCCAGUGUAUCUGGGAUUGAAAGACUCUACCACUUCAGGGCUGAGAGAAUGACUGUACAAGAACCUUGAAUGCUGCGCUGAAGACACGUUAGAGCUUCCUUUCUGCAUUGUGUUGAGUAUUCUUGAGUACUGGAGGGUGUUCCAUGAGCAGUAUAUGCCAGCUGCAGGCCACCUGCUGCCAACCCCUGAAACACUGUGCAUCAUAACUGACAACAUUUGGACUCCAGUGGGGCACAUUGCCAAGGGCAUCAUCAAGUACAGACUGAACUCAUCCUAGAAGAGGAGGAUGCAAGAGCAAGCGGUUACGUGGAAAAAUGUGCAAGGUGAGCAACACAUUUCCAGGAUGGAAGAACCUGUGGAGCAGGUGGACACGAGACCUUGGGGGAAGUUCUUUUCUCCUGCCUCAAGAGUUGCCAGGGUCACUAGACCAACUGUCUCCAUUUUCACUGGAACAAAAGAGGCGCCAGAUGGUUUCCCGUUCAGCUCAAUUUAUCCCAUCUUUCAUGGAUCAAACCCUGCCACGUGUAUGGCAUCCUCUCCUUGAGAAGUCAGAAGAAGAAGAAGAAAGAAGGAGAGGAGUUAAGGGAAUACAGAAAAACUUCCUCAAAUGGAUGGCUCUUUUGGCUGCUACUUGAAGACAUCCAACAAAGGAGAACAAUCUGAAUCAGGGAGAUUUUUCAAGGCAUGGAUGGAAGAGGCGCGAGCCAUUUGAAAGUAACUUGAAGCAGAUUUUAAUAGAAGCAGAUAACUGUUGAAAACAGGAAUGAGAAAAAAAAAUCAAGCUGGGAAAAUCAAGAGAACAUCUACAUCUACAUCCAUUCUCUGAUUCUGUUCAAGAAUCCCAGGAAACAGAAGGCGCUCACACAUCCACCGAAGAUGGGCUGGAGGUGAAAUGCUCGAUUACCUACUGCUUACCUCUGGUCUGGAAGGAGAUUUGCUUAUUUUCACAAAACUAUUCUUUCCCUAUAUAUUCGUUGCAUCCCUAUUAAUAAGUGUCUGCUGCUCUAUGUGUGUGUUUUUUAAAAAUUGGAGCCGGUUUUCUUUUCUUUUUUUCCCCCCUCUACAAAUUGAGAAAGAUCAUCUUCAAAAGGACUUUGAUCAUUGUUUUCUAAAAAUAAAAUGAGAAAGUUUUUCUUGGAGGGAAAGAGAUGACGGACGCCUUUGAAAUGGUGGAGUGGAACUAAACUAUUUGCCAACUUACUGUGUCCCAUCAGGAAAAAGCCUGAUCCCAUUUAAGCUCUGCUACAGUUUGCCAGAACACUUUAAAGAGAACAUGGAACUUGAUGUUUAGUCAAGUCUAUAUAACACAACAGCACCCAGAUAUAUUAAAAGAAAAAUUGGCUUCCACAUUUUUUGUAUCAAAUAAAGAAAAAUGCCGAAAACACA